CUACAAAAUUACAAAGCAAAUAUUGCAGCAUAUUGACAUAGGAGAGGGCCGCGAGGCGCCUCGACAGUGGCCUAGUUAAGCUGAAGCACACAUUCAAGUCGUGAGCACAUUUUCCACUCUCCGUUCGAACGCUCUCUGAGAGUCCAACUAGACUGUCAACAUUACCAACAGUUGCUGCUCUCUCGUCGCAGUCGACGCGUGUUUUGGAAGCAACAAUUCAAUUUCAAAUGCUUCGCCGACAGUUUUGGUUGGUACUACGACGCGAUUCCAAUUGGACUCGAACAGUUGAACGCGACAGAAGUCAAAUUAAUUCCAAGUGGAUUUAAUAAAA